rnacentral:rRNA from 1 species
GAUGAACGCCGGCGGUGUGCCUAAUACAUGCAAGUCGAGCGCACUGGCCCAACAGAAAUGACGUGCUUGCACUGAUUUGACGUUGGAUUCCCAGUGAGCGGCGGACGGGUGAGUAACACGUGGGCAACCUGCCCCAAAGCGGGGGAUAACAUUUGGAAACAGGUGCUAAUACCGCAUAACUUGGACAACCACAUGGUUUUCCAAUAAAAGAUGGUUUCGGCUAUCACUUUGGGAUGGGCCCGCGGUGCAUUAGCUAGUUGGUGAGGUAACGGCUUACCAAGGCGAUGAUGCAUAGCCGAGUUAAGAGACUGAUCGGCCACAAUGGAACUGAGACACGGUCCAUACUCCUACGGGAGGCAGCAGUAGGGAAUCUUCCACAAUGGGCGCAAGCCUGAUGGAGCAACACCGCGUGAGUGAAGAAGGGUUUCGGCUCGUAAAACUCUGUUGUUGGAGAAGAACGUGCGUAAGAGUAACUGUUUACGCAGUGACGGUAUCCAACCAGAAAGUCACGGCUAACUACGUGCCAGCCGCCGCCGUAA